rnacentral:rRNA from 1 species
AUUGAACGCUGGCGGCAUGCCUAACACAUGCAAGUCGAACGGUAACAGGUCUUCGGAUGCUGACGAGUGGCGGACGGGUGAGUAAUGCGUAGGAAUCUGUCUUUUAGUGGGGGACAACCCAGGGAAACUUGGGCUAAUACCGCAUGAGCCCUGAGGGGGAAAGCGGGGGAUCUUCGGACCUCGCGCUAAGGGAAGAGCCUACGUCUGAUUAGCUAGUUGGUAGGGUAAAGGCCUACCAAGGCGACGAUCAGUAGCUGGUCUGAGAGGACGACCAGCCACACUGGGACUGAGACACGGCCCAGACUCCUACGGGAGGCAGCAGUGGGGAAUUUUUCGCAAUGGGGGCAACCCUGACGAAGCAAUGCCGCGUGGAUGAAGAAGGCCUUCGGGUUGUAAAGUCCUUUCGUGGGGGACGAAAAGGCGGGUCCUAAUACGAUCUGCUGUUGACGUGAACCCAAGAAGAAGCACCGGCUAACUCCGUGCCAGCAGCCGCGGUAAUACGGGGGGUGCAAGCGUUAAUCGGAAUCACUGGGCGUAAAGGGUGCGUAGGCGGUACGUUAGGUCUGUCGUGAAAUCCCCGGGCUCAACCUGGGAAUGGCGGUAGAAACCGGCGAACUAGAGUAUGGGAGAGGGUGGUGGAAUUCCAGGUGUAGCGGUGAAAUGCGUAGAGAUCUGGAGGAACAUCAGUGGCGAAAGGCGGCCACCUGGCCCAAUACUGACGCUGAGGCACGAAAGCGUGGGGAGCAAACAGGAUUAGAUACCCUGGUAGUCCACGCCCUAAACGAUGAAUACUAGAUGUUUGGUACCUAGCGUACUGAGUGUCGUAGCUAGCGCGAUAAGUAUUCCGCCUGGGAAGUACGGCCGCAAGGUUAAAACUCAAAGGAAUUGACGGGGGCCCGC